CAGAUCUGAGUUCCAGUUUUAAGCUCAGCUCUGCAGUCUCUGGGUUGCAGGUGAUGAGGAGAAGCAACCCUAGUCGGCUGAAGCCAAAGAAAGGACUUCAGAUCUCGUAACUGCAAAUCCUGGGGUCUAGCCUCAUAACUGCAAAUCCUGGGGUCUAGAGUCCCUCUCUGGUUCUUGUCACCUCCUCGUGGGCUUCAGUCUCAAGUUCCAGAUCGGGGCAAGACACGGCCGAAGCCCAGGGC
rnacentral:lncRNA from 1 species